GCGCGAAAACUUCACACUGUGCGAAAGCACGAUGAGGGAAUCCCAAGUGCUGGCUCGUAAGAGUCAGCUGUUUUUCUGUCUAGAAAACAGAGAGAGUAAGAGCUGGGUAAGACGGGUGCCAGCCGCCGCGGUAAUACCUGCAGCUCAAGUGGUGGCCGCUAUUAUUGGGCCUAAAACGUUCGUAGCCGGUCUAGUAAAUGCCUGGGUAAAUCGUACGGCUUAACCGUACGAAUUCCGGGUAGACUGCUGGACUUGGGACUGGGAGAGGCUAGAGGUACUCCUGGGGUAGAGGUGAAAUUCUGUAAUCCUAGGGGGACGACCAGUGGCGAAGGCGUCUAGCUAGAACAGGUCUGACGGUGAGGAACGAAGCCCUGGGGC
rnacentral:rRNA from 1 species